UUUAUCAGCAAGAACAGAAUAGAUAUUAUCAUCUUUGGAUAUAACAACUAGCUAGCUGGCAAAUAAUAAAAAGUCAGACUCAGACCACGUCAUGUCUUCUGCAGAUCAGAGACGAGCCCCCACCACUGCCAAGAGGUUCUCGUCUUGUAUGUUUGUAUUGUCGUUGAUUUCACUCCCUUAGUACCCCCUUAAUCGGGCCCCUGCCACUCUAUUUGGCCGCCGGGAGUUUUAAAAGCCAGCAGCCUGUGUGUCUGUGAAUGCGUCAUGUUGUCGCACACUGUCAAGUUAACGAUCAAGGUGAUGUGUGUGUUUUUUUAAUCUAGGUAGGAGGUAAAGUACAAAUCGGCUGCAUUAAAACGCAAAGAGCGAGAGAGUAAGAAAAGAGGAUCAUCAAGCUAACGUUAUUGCUAGCACUACUAGCCUGACAGCGGCUAACGGAGAGGAGGAUGAAGAUUUAAAAAGGGACCGUGAUAUGUACAAAGUUGGUUAACCUGUUGGGAUUAUUUUGUUCUAUGGAGGAUGGUGGAAGACACAAAUGGACUAAUUUACACUAAACUACAGCAGGCUGAGCAGCGACAACACUUGCAUCAAGUCAACAUUUCUGAGAGCGCAGCUGGACUUGUAAUUCUGAUGCUCCAAAUUAUAUGGCAGUUCACAGGGAUAAAUGCUGAGAGAGGCACCCCGUCCUUUCACCAAAGACGGAGAAAGAUGACAUCAGUCAACUCUUGUGUAUUAAGUCUCUUAAAGAAACAAACAAACCUUUAUGAACACACACGUGGACAGUCUGGUUACAACUUGCAUUAGAGGGACUUUUCUUUUUUUUAAUGUAAAAUACCAAUUUAAAAAAAACAGGCACUGAUAAGAUGCAGUUAUUUGGUUACAAUAAUGUGGUGAGCAUUAGUACAUGGCAACAUGGAUGCAACACUGAAGAAUGGUGUGCUAUUUAUACUACUACAGUUUAUAAUACACAGUUUUUGUUUUUCAGGGGGGUCACAGGGAUAAAUGCUGAGAGAGGCACCCCGUCCUUUCACCAAAGACGGAGAAAGAUGACAUCAGUCAACCCUUGUGUAUUAAGUCUCCUAAAGAAAUUAAUGGACUUUUGAGUGGGACGUGAUAUGAAUCAGCAAACCCUCUCACCCACCCACACAAUCAGUCUCUUAGCCACACUUUUCAGUUACUCACUGAGUUAGUCUCGGUUACUCGUAAUGACUGUCACUCACUCAGUCACUUUCUCAGUCAUUCACUCGAUCAUUACAAACCUUUAUAAACACACACUUUGGACAGUCUGGUUACAACUUGCAUUGUCAUAUCCUAUAUUUUUGUGUGUAUAUCUGUUGAUUUAUAAUGUUUUUCUGUUCAACAGUCUAAGAGCAGCAUGGUGAAGUACUGUAGCUAAGACUCUGUAUCUUGGUAAGACUGUUAGCCCCAGCUAAUUAUGGUCAGAGUGAACGCUCUGGCUGUCCUCAAAAGGAAGGGGCUCAGGACUCGGGUGGUGAUUUGAUCUCAACUAAACUCCCAUUCUUCCCCUUCGCCCCCCCUUUAUACAGUGAACCCAAUGUGCUAGAUGAGUCCCAGGGCCUUCUGCAGGAGGGUAACCUCUCUAGGUACAGUGGCCCUCUCUCUGUGUAUGUCCCUUUGGUGCGUUCUUGCAUCUGUCCGCCACUGGGAGGGGCAUCGCCUUGGGACAGCCUCCUCUAUUGGCCGCCCUCACCGUUGAUCACUCAUCCACAUCCAAUCAAAUCGCCUUGGCCCGUCACACCUCCCCCAUGCCACCUCCCACUUACCUGUCUCUAUCUCUUUCUGUGUGGGUCCAGUGUGCCUUGUCUCUGUCCCCCCAAAAAAACUUCCUGGCAUUAGUGAGACAGCAUUGAUAAUGACAGAAAUCGUCUCACUCAAUUAAGGAAACCAGGAUUUAAAUCCACCAUCGACUUGUUUAAUGUACAUACAUUUGAAUGCAGUUUUAGAGUCUGGCUUCAGUGGUAGUUAAACCAAAACUGAGUUUACUGCAGCUGACAGCUGUCCAAAAUAUUUGGAUACAUGGAGAUUAAAGAGGGUUAACUUAUGCAGUGGGAAAGGACACCGCUUCUCUUUGUGCUUUCAAUUCAGUUCAUUCAAUACAAAACUUAAAUUGUACUGUUAUUAAUAAUAACUGAGCUCUAAAGACAUGUGGUCGAAAGAAUUUCAGAGGAGCAUCAGCAUUUUUAUUCAGAGGGCCAUUGGACUAUUUCAUCAUGAGUUCCCUUUAAAUGUAAGGUGUCUAUGUCAAAUUAUGUCUUCUUUGUGUAAAGUUCAAAUAAAGCGACAGUAUAUCAGACUGUUUCUGGAAUAUCAGAUUAAAUGGAUAUUGUUUACAGUA